GUAGGGAAUAUUGGGCAAUGGAUGCAAGUCUGACCCAGCCAUCCCGCGUGCCGGAAGAAGGCCCUCAGGGUUGUAAACGGCUUUUGACGGUGAAGAAUCGACAGGAUGCGUCCUGUUUUGACGGUAGCCGUUGAAUAAGCACCGGCUAACUCCGUGCCAGCAGCCGCGGUAAUACGGAGGGUGCGAGCGUUGUCCGGAUUUAUUGGGUUUAAAGGGUGCGUAGGCUGGAGGGUCAGUCAGCGGUGAAAAGCUGUCGCUUAACGAUAGUCUUGCCGCAGAUACUUCCUUUCUUGGAUGAGGAGGAGGCCACGGGAACGGAUGGUGUAGCGGUGAAAUGCAUAGAUAUCAUCCAGAACACCGAUUGCGAAGGCAGGUGGCUGUACCUUAAUCGACGCUGAUGCACGAAAGCAUGGGGAGCAAACAGGAUUAGAAACCCGUGUAGUCC
rnacentral:rRNA from 1 species